UGAAACGCUCAGACAGGAAGUGAUGUAAAAGAGCAUCAGGAAAUGAUGUAAGGUGAAAACAAUACUAUAAAGGAAAGACAGGAAUUUCUGGGAGAGAACGAGGUGGAGAGGAGACGUCACUGAAUUACACAGAGGAGGAUAAAGGAAGUAAUGAAGAGGAAAUCUGGGCAGUAAAGAAAACAAAAUCUGCCCAUCCCAUGGUCCUUCUUUAGAAGGACACCAGGAUCUCUACAAGGACCUCAUGAUGGAGAAUCAGCCGCCCCUCACAUCACCGGAUGGAUCCAGUAAUGGGAACCCACCAGAG